rnacentral:rRNA from 1 species
GCCUACGGGAGGCUGCAGGCGCGAAAACUUUACAAUGCGGGAAACCGUGAUAAGGGGACACCGAGUGCCAGCGUCAUACGCUGGCUGUCCAGGUGUGUAAAAUACACCUGUUAGCAAGGGCCGGGCAAGACCGGUGCCAGCCGCCGCGGUAACACCGGCGGCCCGAGUGGUGAUCGUGAUUAUUGGGUCUAAAGGGUCCGUAGCCGGUUUGGUCAGUCCUCCGGGAAAUCUGACAGCUCAACUGUUAGGCUUUCGGGGGAUACUGCCAGGCUUGGAACCGGGAGAGGUAAGAGGUACUACAGGGGUAGGAGUGAAAUCUUGUAAUCCCUGUGGGACCACCUGUGGCGAAGGCGUCUUACCAGAACGGGUUCGACGGUGAGGGACGAAAGCUGGGGGCACGAACCGGAUUAGAUACCCGGGUAGUCU